rnacentral:rRNA from 1 species
UACGGGGGGAGCAAGCGUUGUUCGGAUUUACUGGGCGUAAAGGGCGCGUAGGCGGCCACCGCAAGUCGGUUGUGAAAUCUCCGGGCUUAACCCGGAAAGGUCAAUCGAUACUGUGCGGCUAGAGUGCGGAAGGGGCAACUGGAAUUCUUGGUGUAGCGGUGAAAUGCGUAGAUAUCAAGAGGAACACCUGCGGCGAAGGCGGGUUGCUGGGCCGACACUGACGCUGAGGCGCGAAAGCCAGGGGAGCGAACGGG